rnacentral:misc_RNA from 1 species
GUCAUUUGUACCCUCAAGCUAUGCUUGGUGUUGGGUGUUUGUCUGGCCUUUGUGCCUAGACUCGCCUUAAAGUAAUUGGCAGCCGGUGUUUUGGUAGUAGAGCGCAGCACAUUUUGUACUCUGUUUCCUAAACUAUGGCGUCCAUAAGCACACUUCUCACUUUUGACCUCGGAUCAGGUAGGGAUACCCGCUGAACUUAA